rnacentral:rRNA from 1 species
GACGAACGCUGGCGGCGUGCUUAACACAUGCAAGUCGAACGGAGUGGCGAACGGGCGAGUAAGACGUGGGUGAUCUGCCUUGCACUCUGGGAUAAGCUUGGGAAACUGGGUUUAAUACCGGAUAGUGAACGGUGAGCUCGCGGCCUAACAGCUUGUUGGUGGGGUAAUGGCCGACCAAAGCGUCGACGGGUAGCCGGCCUGAGAGGGUGUACGGCCACAUUGGGACCGAGGUACGGCCCAGACGCCUACGGGAGGCAGCAGUGGGGAAUAUUGCACAAGGGGCGGAAGCCUGAUGCAGCGACGCCGCGUGGGGGAUGACGGCCUUCGGGUUGUAAACUCCUUUCGACAGGGACGCGGUACCUGUAUAAGAAGCACCGGCUAACUACGUGCCAGCAGCCGCGGUAAUAC